rnacentral:tRNA from 5 species
UAUGUUGUGGACUAAUGGGUAAGUCAUAAAUUUUUGAUAUUUACUAUUAAGUGUUCGAAUCACUUCAACAUAA